UUCAUACUCCCUCCGUCCAAAAAUACUUGUCAUCAAAAUAGAUAAAAAAAGAUGUAUCUAGAACUAAAAUGUGUCUAGAUGCAUCCCCUUUUAUCCAUUUUGAUGGCAAGUACUUCCGGACAGAGGGAGUACAUC
rfam:Triticum aestivum genome assembly, contig: Triticum_aestivum_CS42_TGACv1_scaffold_591947_7BS